UACGGCCAUACCAUGCUGAAUAUACCAAUUCUCAUUCAAUCACCGAAGUUAAGCAUCAUUGGGCGCGAAGUUAAGCAUACUUGGGUGGGUGACCACCUGGGAACACCGCGUGCCGUUG